rnacentral:siRNA from 1 species
GAUGGUGUAGCCGAAGUCCGUAUG